rnacentral:rRNA from 1 species
GAACUGUGCAAACGUUAUUCGGGAAUCACUGGGCUUAAAGGGUGCGUAGGCGGGUUGGUAGGUCAGAUGUGAAAGCCCACGGGCUCAACCGUGGAAUUGCGUUUGAAACCACCAGUCUUGAGGGGAUCAGAGGAGAGCGGAACUGAUGGUGGAGCGGUGAAAUGCGUUGAUAUUAUCAGGAACACCGGUGGCGAAAGCGGCUCUCUGGGAUCCUUCUGACGCUGAGGCACGAAAGCUAGGGGAGCGAACGGGAUUAGAUACCCCGGUAGUCCUAGCUGUAAACGAUCUGUACUAGUCCGUGGGGACUCCCACAUCUUCUCGGACGUAGCGAAAGUGUUAAGUACAGCGCCUGGGGAGUAUGAUCGCAAGGCUG